ACGGCGAGUGAAGCGGCAACAGCUCAAAUUUGAAAUCUGGCCUCUUUGGGGGUCCGAGUUGUAAUUUGCAGAGGGUGCUUUGGCGUUGGCUGUGGUCUAAGUUCCUUGGAACAGGACGUCGCAGAGGGUGAGAAUCCCGUAUGUGGCCGCCAGUCUUCGCCGUGUAAAGCCCCUUCGACGAGUCGAGUUGUUUGGGAAUGCAGCUCUAAAUGGGAGGUAAAUUUCUUCUAAAGCUAAAUAUUGGCCAGAGACCGAUAGCGCACAAGUAGAGUGAUCGAAAGAUGAAAAGCACUUUGGAAAGAGAGUCAAAAAGCACGUGAAAUUGUUGAAAGGGAAGCGCUUGCAGCCAGACUUGCUUGCAGUUGUUCAGCCGGGCUCUUGCCCGGUCUACUCUUCUGCUCGCAGGCCAGCAUCAGUCCGGGCGGUUGGAUAAAGGCCUAUUAAACGUACCUCCCCUCGGGGAGGACUUAUAGGGUAGGCGACAUGCAACCAGCCCGGAAUGAGGUCCGCGCAUCUGCUAGGAUGCUGGCGUAAUGGCUGUAAGCGGCCCGUCUUGAAACACGGACCAAGGAGUCUAACAUCUAUGCGAGUGUUUGGGUGUCAAGCCCGAGCGCGUAAUGAAAGUGAACGGAGGUGGGAACCUUUCGGGGUGCACCAUCGACCGAUCCUGAUGUCUUCGGAUGGAUUUGAGUAAGAGCAUAGCUGUUGGGACCCGAAAGAUGGUGAACUAU
rnacentral:rRNA from 1 species